UGAACAAACAGCAGAAGGUCCAUGUCCCCCGCACCCAUGACACACUACUCCUUCCAACCCAUCUCCUCUAGCCAUGCUCCUUACCUUCAGGUCCUUCCUACCCACCCCCUCUAGCCGUGCUCCUUACCUUCAGGUCCUUCCCACCCACCCCCUCUAGCCGUACUCCUUACCAUCAGGUCCUUCCCACCCACCCCCUCUAGCCGUACUCCUUACCCUCAGGUCCUUCCCACCCACCCCCUCUAGCCGUACUCCUUAUCCUCAGGUCCUUCCCACCCACCCCCUGUAGCCAUGCUCCUUAGCCUCAGGUCCUUCCCACUCACCCCCUCUAGCCGUACUCCUUACCCUCAGGUCCUUCCCACCUACCCCCUGUAGCCAUGCUCCUUACCCUCAGGUCCUUCCCACCCACCCCCUGUAGCCAUGCUCCUUACCCUCAGGUCCUUCCCACCCACCCCCUGUAGCCAUGCUCCUUACCCUCAGGUCCUUCCCACCCACCCCCUGUAGCCAUGCUCCUUACCCUCAGGUCCUUCCCACCCACCCCCUGUAGCCAUGCUCCUUACCCUCAGGUCCUUCCCACCCACCCCCUGUAGCCAUGCUCCUUACCCUCAGGUCCUUCCCACCCACCCCCUGUAGCCAUGCUCCUUACCCUCAGGUCCUUCCCACCCACCCCCUGUAGCCAUGCUCCUUACCCUCAGGUCCUUCCCACUCACCCCCUCUAGCUGUACUCCUUAUCCUCAGGUCCUUCCCACCUACCCC
ensembl:lncRNA